UACGUAGGUGGCAAGCGUUGUCCGGAAUUAUUGGGUGUAAAGGGAGCGUAGGCGGGGAUGCAAGUUGAAUGUCAAAUCCAUCGGCUCAACCGAUGGCCGCGUUCAAAACUGUGUCUCUUGAGUGAAGUAGAGGCAGGCGGAAUUCCUAGUGUAGCGGUGAAAUGCGUAGAUAUUAGGAGGAACACCAGUGGCGAAGGCGGCCUGCUGGGCUUUUACUGACGCUGAGGCUCGAAAGUGUGGGGAGCAAACAGGAUUAGAUACCCUGGUAGUCCACACUGUAAACGAUGAUUACUAGGUGUGGGGGGACUGACCCCUUCCGUGCCGGAGUUAACACAAUAAGUAAUCCACCUGGGGAGUACGGCCGCAAGGUUGAA
rnacentral:rRNA from 1 species